rnacentral:rRNA from 1 species
GACGGAGGAUGCAAGUGUUAUCCGGAAUCACUGGGCGUAAAGCGUCUGUAGGUGGUUUAAAAAGUCUACUGUUAAAGCUUGAAGCUCAACUUCAAAAAUGCCGUAGAAACUUUUAAACCUGAGUAUGGUAGGGGUAGAGGGAAUUUCCAGUGGAGCGGUGAAAUGCGUAGAUCUUGGAAAGACCACCAAUGGCGAAGGCACUCUACUGGGCCAUUACUGACACUAAGAGACGAAAGCUAGGGGAGCAAAUGGG